rnacentral:lncRNA from 1 species
UAUUCUUUUUCCGCCAAACUUUGACGAAGUUAGCCUCCGUAACCGUAAGACGUGUCGCUUUCAUAUUCACACUUUGUAUUCGUGUCAUGAAUACCUAUCCGGAACUCACCCUGUUAGUCGAAAAAUUUUGUCGGUUCGGAGUUAUCCCUCCGAAACCAAAAAACCUUGUUAUCGUUCCAACACCGUAACCGUAAAAGGUAGAGAAAAAACAAAGGGUGAAAUUUGUUCAGGACCAGACCCCGGUUCUUCGUUACAUUUGGAUCGAAAAGAUUCAACGACUCAUUUGUAGGGUUAUGCCCCUAUGAAAAUUAAGCGGUGUCGGUUGAUCACCAAAACUCAGAAACCGUAAGUCGUAGACACCUAGGAUCUUCACCAUUCAUC